GGCCGGAUAGCUCAGUCGGUAGAGCAGAGGACUGAAAAUCCUUGUGUCGCUGGUUCGAUUCCAGUUCCGGCCACCA
rnacentral:tRNA from 1 species